rnacentral:rRNA from 1 species
GUGGGGAAUCUUAGACAAUGGGGGCAACCCUGAUCUAGCCAUGCCGCGUGAUCGAUGAAGGCCUUAGGGUUGUAAAGAUCUUUCAGCUGGGAAGAUAAUGACGGUACCAGCAGAAGAAGCCCCGGCUAACUCCGUGCCAGCAGCCGCGGUAAUACGGAGGGGGCUAGCGUUGUUCGGAAUUACUGGGCGUAAAGCGCACGUAGGCGGAUUGGAAAGUUGGGGGUGAAAUCCCGGGGCUCAACCCCGGAACUGCCUUCAAAACUCCCAGUCUUGAGGUCGAGAGAGGUGAGUGGAAUUCCGAGUGUAGAGGUGAAAUUCGUAGAUAUUCGGAGGAACACCAGUGGCGAAGGCGGCUCACUGGCUCGAUACUGACGCUGAGGUGCGAAAGCGUGGGGAGCAAACAGGAUUAGAAACCCCUGUAGUCC